GAUCUGAUGUAUUGACGUACUGACCGCAUACUGAUUGUACACUUGUAUUGUGUUUCUCGACAAUAACUAUCAUUCUUUGUUGUUUAAAGUUGUAAUUUUCUAUAAAAGAAAAUGGAUCCAGCAUUGUUGAGGGAGCAUGAAGCCUUCAAGAGAAGAGCAGCCACGCAACCCACCGUUGAAAAAAAGAAAAGAGAGCCAGAGAAAGAAGUUGUUCGAGAUGAAUCAAAAAAGAAACCAAAGACCUCGUCAGGCUCUUCAGGUCCAAAACUUGACAGUAGUAAUUAUAAGACAAUGUCGGCUGGUUCCCAAGUCAGAUUUGGAAUUCUUACGAAAAUUGUACAGCACAUGAAAGCAAGACAUCAAGAUGGAGAGGAUCAUCCACUUACACUUGAUGAAAUUCUCGAUGAGACAAAUCAACUUGAUAUUGGAACUAGGAAUAAGCAAUGGCUUCUGAUGGAAGCUUUGCCCACAAAUCCAAAGAUUGAUACUAAUAACGAAGGGAAAUUCACUUUCAAAGCUCAAUACAAAAUCAAAGAUAAGAAAUCCCUCCUGAGGCUUUUAAAACAACACGAUCUAAAAGGCUUAGGAGGAAUUCUGCUUGAAGAUAUUCAAGAAAGUCUUCCACACUCCGAGAGACAUCUAAAGCAUCUUGCAAAUGAAUUGCUGUACAUUACUCGUGCACAAGACAAAAAGAAAAUUGUUUUCUACAAUGAUAAGACAGCACAAUUUCCUGUUGAUGAAGAGUUCCAAAAGUUGUGGAGGGCUGUUGCUGUAGAUGCGAUGGAUGAUGCCAAGAUUGAUGAGUACCUAGAGAAACAAGGAAUCAGAUCGAUGCAAGAUCAUGGUCCAAAGAAGACUGCUCCACUCAAGAGAAAGAAGCCCAACAAUAAGAGAAAGCAGUUGAAAAAGCCAAGAGACAACGAACAUUUGGCUGAUGUUCUGGAGACAUACGAUGAUAACAAGUAGUCUGUCAUCAUAAUGAUAAGGCUCACAGUUUUCUAAGUUUAGGGUAAUAGUAAAAAUCAUGAACAUUUAUUUUUAAGAAACUUUAAUAAACGGAAAAGGCUUUCGUUAGCUCAAUCCUUCGUUGUAAAUACAAAAAAUAGAGAUUGUAUAUGACAAGGCUCAACAUUCAUCUAGUUCCGCAAAUAUUUAAAAAGCUUGAGUUUCGUUCAUUGUAAAAAUAUCAUCUUGUCAAUCUUUUGGCAACGCCGAGUCGCUUUUUCCUCUGGAAUAAACUUUCGUUGAUUUACUACCGAGCAUUCUGUCGAGCAGAGAUUGCUUAUUCCUUCGUCUUGCCGCAAGAACUUCUCGACAUAGCUCAUGAAAGGAUUCUGCUACUUGAGCCACCUGAAAGAAAACGUACCUGUUCGGCGGCCGUAACUUCGCUGAACCAGCAUUCGAAGUCUUUGGCCAAAAUUUCACCUUCCUCCGUGCUGACUUGCCUCAGAUGAAUCAUAUCUGCUUUAUUGCCAACAAGUGCGAGUGGCAUAGCAGCUUCUGGAUCGGCGACUGCUAAUGCUUCUUUUGCCUUCCGCACGAAGUUAAAGGAACUCCUGUCAGUUAUGGAAUAGACAAGAAGUAAGCCGUCAGCCCAUUGAAGUGUUUCUAUGGAUGGGAGCUCGUCUUCACUCUAUUUUUGCGAAUUGUAAGAUACGUGUUAGCGGAAAUCAAAUGUAAGAUGAAUGUUUAGCUAAAUUCUCUGCUGUAUAUAUAUUUAUACAUCAAUUUUAGUGUUUUAUAACGACUUAAUUAAGUUUCAUAAAUCCGAGAAACUAGUUACUGUUCUCUUAAUCGUUAAUAUUAUGCUGGAUUUUUUGAAUUUUAAAUUCUGAUACAAAGCUAUUUACUUAUUUUACAAUGUAAUAUAAGACUGUAUUAAAAACUUUGGAUAUAAUAUUUUUUA